CGUCCGGUCCCUGCCACCCCACCCUCUUCCCGGGUUCUCAUUGCUGCUUUUAUGUCCUGCAAGAAGCCUAAAUAAGUAUGUCCAGUUUUGCUUUGGACAGCACUCUGGGGAGCCCUGAAUUCUAUGAAAAGCACAGAUAAGAAAAUUAACUACAGAGGCUAUAGUUGCUGCUGUUUUGAGUCAAUGGGAAUGUCGCAAAAAUGAAUUUAAACUCCAGUUUUAAUUGGAGAGAUGGUGCGUGAUAGUUUGAAGAAAACUGAAGGGAUGUUUUCCUGUUAAGACUGAAGAGAAGCCAAAGAAGCUAAAAUUCUCUUGAAAGAAGAUGGAGGGAUCUUCUUUCCUAAUAAAACCAUAAGAACUUUUAUCUUGCAACAGGGAUUAAGAGUCUUGCAAAGAGACUUUAUUUGCAAUACUAAAUGAACUAUCUGUACACAUAUAUUGUAUCUAGGAUAUACUGUGACCUAUUUAACAUGUAUAGGACUGCUUGGCAUCUGGGGGAGGGGGUGGAGGGAGGGAGGGGAAAAGUCGGAACAGAAGUGAGUGCAAGGGAUAAUGCUGUAAAAAAUUACCCAGGCAUAUGUUGUGUCAAUAAAAAGUUAUAAUUAUUUAAAAAAAAUACUGAAUGAGCUAAAUCAUGCGGAACUAUGUACUGAGGUUACAUGAAGGUUUGAAGUAACUGGUUAUAACCACUUUCACAAAUAAAAUAUUGUAAAUAAUUAUCUACAUUUUUGUUUCAUUGUCAAUAUUAUUAAUAAAUUGUAUAUGCAAUUCUUUACUAUUUCUUUACUUCUAAGAGGUUAAGGGAUUUGAUUUUUUAAAAUUAAAGCUUUUUAUUUUAAAAAUAUAUGCACAGAUAAUUUUCAACAUUC
ensembl:lncRNA